GAUCCUGGCUCAGGACGAACGCUGGCGGCGUGCCUAAUACAUGCAAGUAGAACGCUGAAGGAGGAGCUUGCUUCUCUGGAUGAGUUGCGAACGGGUGAGUAACGCGUAGGUAACCUGCCUGGUAGCGGGGGAGUAACUAUUGGAAACGAUAGCUAAUACCGCAUAAUAGUAGAUGUUGCAUGACAUUUGUCUUAAAAGGUAGCAAUUGCAUCACUACCAGAUGGACCUGCGUUG
rnacentral:rRNA from 1 species